rnacentral:rRNA from 1 species
GUUACACGUAGUCAACCUGCCCUGGAGACAUGGACAACCCCGGGAAACUGGGAUUAAUCCGUGAUAGGUCAUCUCAUCUGGAAGGAGAGAUGGCUUAAAGGGGUACGCGGGCUUCUUCUGCGUAUUCGCUCCAGGAUGGGACUGCGUCCGAUCAGGCUGUUGGCGGGGUAAUGGCCCACCAAACCUGUAACCGGUACGGGCCUUGAGAGAGGUGGCCCGGAGAUGGACACUGAGAGAAGGGUCCAGGUCCUACGGGGCGCAGCAGGCGCGAAACCUUCGCAAUGCGCGAAAGCGUGACGAGGUUAAUCCGAGUGGCCCCCGCUGAGGGGGUCUUUUGUCAGCUGUAAAUAGGCGGGCGAAUAAGGGGAGGGCAAGCCUGGUGUCAGCCGCCGCGGUAAUACCAGCUCCUCGAGUGGUCGGGGCGAUUAUUGGGCCUAAAGCAUCCGUAGCCGGUUCCGUAGGUCCUCUGUUAAAUCCACCCGCUUAACGGGUGACCUGCAGAGGAUACCGCGGGACU